AGCGAACGGUGGCGGCGUGGAUUAGGCAUGCAAGUCGAGCGAGAAAGACCUAGCUUGCUAGGUCGAGUAAAGCGGCGAACGGGGAGUAACGUAUGGAUAGUCUACCCUCGACUCGGGGAUAACAGCUGGAAACGGCUGCUAAUACCCGAUGGCUCCGGUAGCAGGUACUGCGGCCGGAUAAAGGUGGGAAACUGCCGAUCGAGGAGGGGUCCAUAUCCCAUCAGCUAGUUGGCGGGGUAACGGCCACCAAGGCGACGACGGGUAGCCGGACUGAGAGGUUGACCGGCCACAUCGGGACUGAGACACUGCCCGGACUCCUACGGGAGGCUGCAGUCGAGAAUCUUCUGCAAUGGACGAAAAGUCUGACAGAGCGACGCCGCGUGCAGGAUGAAGGCCCUCGGGUUGUAAAACUGCUGUCACUCGUGAAGAACGUCCGCACUCAAAUGCGGGCUGACGUUAGCGAGAGAGGAAGCCACGGCUAACUUCGUGCCAGCAGCCGCGGUAAGACGAAGGUGGCAACCGUUGCUCGGAUUCACUGGGCAUAAAGCGCACGUAGGUGGCUUGGAAGGUCAUUGGUGAAAGCCCACGGCUCAACCGUGGAAUUGCCGAUGAAACCACCUUGCUUGAGGACGGGAGGGGAGAGUGGAACUCUUGGUGUAGCGGUGAAAAUGCGUAGAUAUCAAGAGGAACGCCGGUGGCGAAAGCGACUCUCUGGACCGAUCCUGACACUGAGGUGCGAAAAGCUAGGGGGAGCAAAACA
rnacentral:rRNA from 1 species